rnacentral:rRNA from 1 species
CAAUAGCGUAUAUUUAAGUUGUUGCAGUUAAAAAGCUCGUAGUUGGAUUUCGGUUAAGAGCGACCGGUCCGCCGUUUGGUGUGCACUGGUUGGUUUUAACUUCCUGUAGAGGACGUGCUCUGGGUUUAACGACCUGGACUCGGAGUCUACGUGGUUACUUUGGAAAAAUUAGAGUGUUCAAAGCGGGCUUACGCUUGAAUAUUUCAGCAUGGAAUAACACUAUAGGACUCCUGUCCUAUUUCGUUGGUCUCGGGACGGGAGUAAUGAUUAAGAGGAACAGUUGGGGGCAUUCGUAUUUCAUUGUCAGAGGUGAAAUUCUUGGAUUUAUGAAAGACGAACUUCUGCGAAAGCAUUUGCCAAGGAUGUUUUCAUUAA